GCGGAUGUGGCGGAAUGGCAGACGCGCUAGCUUCAGGUGCUAGUGAUCGCAAGGUCGUAAGGGUUCAAGUCCCUUCAUCCGCACCA
rnacentral:tRNA from 1 species